rnacentral:rRNA from 1 species
GAUGAACGCUAGCGCGAGGCCUAACACAUGAAAGCCGAGCGGUAUUGUUUCUUCGGAAAUGAGAGAGCGGCGUACGGGCGCGUAACACGUGUGCAACCUGCCUUUAUCUGAGGGAUAGCCUUUCGAAAGGAAGAUUAAUACUCCAUAAUAUAUUGAACGGCAUCGUUUAAUAUUGAAAGCUACUGCGGAUAGAGAUGGGCACGCGCAAGAUUAGCUAGUUGGUAAGGUAACGGCUCACCAAGGCGAUGAUCUUUAGGGGGCCUGAGAGGGUAAUCCACCACACUGGUACUCAGACACGGACCAGACUCCUGCGUGAGGCAGCAGUGAGGAAUCUUGGUAAAUUGGUGCAAGCCUGAACCAGCCAUCCCGCGUGAAUGACGACUGCCCUAUGGGUUGGAAACUUCUUUUGUAUAGGGAUAAACCUACCCUCGUGAGGGUAGCUGAAGGUACUAUACGAAUAAGCACCGGCUAACUCCGUGCCAGCCGCCGCAGUAA